AGCAGCCGCGGUAAUUCCAGCUCCAAUAGCGUAUAUUAAAGUUGUUGCAGUUAAAAAGCUCGUAGUUGAAUUUCGGGAUUGGCGCAUCGGUCGUGCCUUACGGGGUAUGAACUGGUGCAGUCAAUUUCUCACCUUCUGGAGAACCGCGAUGUCCUUAAUUGGGUGCCGCGGGGAACCAGGACCUUUACUUUGAAAAAUUAGAGUGUUUAAAGCAGGCAUUUUUGCUUGAAUACAUUAGCAUGGAAUAAUAAAAUAGGACGGCAUGGUUCUAUUUUGUUGGUUUCUAGGACCACCGUAAUGAUUAAUAGGGAUAGUUGGGGGCAUUAGUAUUCAAUUGUCAGAGGUGAAAUUCUUGGAUUUAUUGAAGACUAACUACUGCGAAAGCAUUUGCCAAGGAUGUUUUCAUUAAUCAAGAACGAAAGUUAGGGGAUCGAAGACGAUCAGAUACCG
rnacentral:rRNA from 2 species